rnacentral:rRNA from 1 species
ACGUAGGGUGCAAGCGUUAAUCGGAAUUACUGGGCGUAAAGCGUGCGCAGGCGGUUAUGUAAGACAGAUGUGAAAUCCCCGGGCUCAACCUGGGAACUGCAUUUGUGACUGCAUAGCUUGAGUGCGGCAGAGGGGGAUGGAAUUCCGCGUGUAGCAGUGAAAUGCGUAGAUAUGCGGAGGAACACCGAUGGCGAAGGCAGGUCUCUGGGCUGACACUGACGCUCAUGCACGAAAGCGUGGGGAGCAAACAGGA